UACGGGGGGGGCAAGCGUUGUUCGGAAUUACUGGGCGUAAAGGGCGCGUAGGCGGCCUUCUAAGUCGGACGUGAAAUCCCUCGGCUUAACCGAGGAACUGCGUCCGAUACUGAAAGGCUUGAAUCCGGGAGAGGGAUGUGGAAUUCCAGGUGUAGCGGUGAAAUGCGUAGAUAUUGGGAGGAACACCAGUGGCGAAGGCGGCUCACUGGACCGGUUCUGACGCUGAGGCGCGAAAGCGUGGGGAGCAAACGGG
rnacentral:rRNA from 1 species